rnacentral:lncRNA from 1 species
GCGGAAGGAUUUCUAGAAGCAUCAUCUAUUUUUUUUAACACAUGUUAAUGACGGACGAGGGGUUGAGAAGCGUCCAGACUUCGGAUGGAGGUUACACGAGUCGAUCUUUCUUCCUCGGAGCUGGGUCACAUGGUAGCCUUGUAGCUUGAUCUCGUACCUAUCUGUGUAAAUAUUUUAGGAUAAAUUUUAAAUCGUAGAGGUGCAAAUAUUUUAGGACGGAGGGAGUAUUUUUAUACAUAUUUGACCAUCUACUCAACUUUUUUUAUUAUGAUCAGAUCUUUUUGUUAAAAAAAAUCCAAAGUAUAAGACCGUACUGUUUUCUCGUGCCUGCUAGCAUGGCCACGUU